rnacentral:tmRNA from 1 species
GGGGAUGUUUUGGUUUUGACAGCAUCGAUUCCGGAAAGUAAGCACGCCGGGCGCUCCGCGGGCCAGCCCGUUAAUCUCGACUCACGAAAAAUUAGCUGGCAACAGCAACUAUGCACUCGCUGCUUAAUCUGCCAAGCGGAUUAGCUUAAUCGGGGCGCCAAGGAUGCGCUGCUGACGAGUAUCCCUCCGGCUUUAGGCCGUCUAUGUCCGGAAUCAGGGGUAUCAUUCAAGACGGAUGCACGCGGGGACUCCCUUAAACUGCGCCAAGACCCAGGGGAUAAGUUGGUGUUCGCCCGCUUUCCGGCAGGCAUCUUCCGACAAACAAAGGAAAGAUAUGCGUGUAGAAAGCUUUUUGGUGCGUUGUUUGGACGGCGGUUCGAGUCCGCCCAUCUCCAC